rnacentral:rRNA from 1 species
GACGAACGCNUGCGGCGUGCUAAGAAAUGCAAGUCGAGCGGGGGAGCAAUCCCUAGCGGCGAACGGUCGCGUAACACGUAAGCAACCUGCCCGAAAGACCGGGACAACAGCUCGAAAGGGCUGCUAAUACCGGAUGUGUCCGCUUUGCCUCCUGGCUUAGCGAGUAAAUCAUUUAUGGCUUUCGGAGGGGCUUGCGGCCUAUCAGCUAGAUGGCGAGGUAACGGCUCACCAUGGCGACGACGGGUAGCUGGUCUGAGAAGAUGGUCAGCCGGACUGGGACUGAGAUACGGCCCAGACUCCUACGGGGGGCAGCAAUUAGGAAUCUUGUGCAAUGGGCGAAAGCCUGACACAGCGACGCCGCGUGAGGGAGGAAGGCCUUCGGGUUGUAAACCUCUUUUGACGAGGAAGAACACAAUGACGGUACUCGUCGAAUAAGCCCCGGCUAACUCCGUGCCAGCAGCCGCGGUAAUACGGGGGGGGCGAGCGUUGUCCGAAGUUACUGGGCGUAAAGCGCGUGUAGGCGGGUUGUUAAGUCCGCUGUGAAAGCCCGGUGCUCAACGCCGGAGGGUCGGUGGAUACUGGCAGUCUUGAAGUGGCUAGGGGGAAAUGGAAUUACCGGUGUAGCGGUGAAAUGCGUAGAUAUCGGUAGGAACACCAGUGGCGAAGGCGGUUUCCUGGAGCUAACUUGACGCUGAGACGCGAAAGCUGGGGGAGCAAACGGGAUUAGAUACCCCGGUAGUCCCAGCCCUAAACGAUGGAUACUAGGUGUCAGGGGUAUCGACCCCUCUGGUGCCGCAGCUAACGCAGUAAGUAUCCCGCCUGG